GUUUCAAUUCCUCAUAGGCAGGCUAUCGGCCGCCGGGACGAAGGCGGGAUGCGAUCUGUCCCACGG
rnacentral:sRNA from 1 species